UACGAAGGGGGCUAGCGUUGUUCGGAAUUACUGGGCGUAAAGCGUGCGCAGGCGGUGAUGUAAGACAGUUGUGAAAUCCCCGGGCUCAACCUGGGAACUGCAUCUGUGACUGCAUUGCUGGAGUGCGGCAGAGGGGGAUGGAAUUCCGCGUGUAGCAGUGAAAUGCGUAGAUAUGCGGAGGAACACCGAUGGCGAAGGCAAUCCCCUGGGCCUGCACUGACGCUCAUGCACGAAAGCGUGGGGAGCAAACAGG
rnacentral:rRNA from 1 species